UACGGGGGGGGCAAGCGUUGUUCGGAAUUACUGGGCGUAAAGGGCUCGUAGGCGGCCAACUAAGUCAGACGUGAAAUCCCUCGGCUUAACCGGGGAACUGCGUCUGAUACUGGAUGGCUUGAGGUUGGGAGAGGGAUGCGGAAUUCCAGGUGUAGCGGUGAAAUGCGUAGAUAUCUGGAGGAACACCGGUGGCGAAGGCGGCAUCCUGGACCAACACUGACGCUGAGGCGCGAAAGCGUGGGGAGCAAACAGG
rnacentral:rRNA from 1 species